AAAAAAAAAACAAAUCGAAAUUAAUAAAACUUUUAUUUUUGUAUAUUUGUCUGUUUUUCCUACAAGUUCCUUUGAGAUAUUUCAUAAUUAUUACGAAAAUUGAUGGAAAACAGAUUUUCUAAUGCACCAAAUAGAGACAAAAUUCAACAUAAAAGAUUUCUUGUAAUUUUUUGAUUGGUGUAAAAUGUUUGAUAAGAAAAAUGGUUUAAACAAAAAAAAAAAUAAAACACAUUAUACUAAAACCAAUACAUUCUUUGCUAUGCUCAAAAUCUAAAAUAAAAUGAUAUUUACCAUCUAUAUUGAACAGUUAUAAUCUCUAAAAUAAUUAAAUGUAUACAAAUAAAAUUAGUAAAAAAUAACCUAAUAAUUUUAUAAAUAUGGUAUUAUUUUGUUGAGUGUUUAUUCAUGGAAUAUGUAUACUAUCCCAUUAUUUGCCUGGAAAUGCAAUGAAAUUGCUGUCAAUAUAUUUUUUUAAAUUUUAAUUUGUAUAAAUAUAAUUAUUUUUAUUUAGUAUU